AUGGAGUGGGUGCGCCGGCUCGCGGUGCGGGCGGGGCCGCCGGGGGCCGGGGAGGGGUUCGACGCGCUCGUCGUCGCCGGGGACGUGGCGGAGACGAGGGACAACUUCGCGCGAACCAUGGAGGCCCUCAGGGCGCGGUUCGACGCCGUCUUCUACGUGCCCGGCAACCACGACCUCUGGCUGCGCCGCGAGGGUGGCCGCUACGUGGAUUCGAUGGAGAAACUGACUGCAUUGCUUGAUGCGUGUAGUGAGCUGGGUGUGGAUACAGGCCCUAGAACGAUAGGUGACUUAGGGAUCAUACCAUUGUUUUCAUGGUAUCACAAGAGCUUUGACAAGGAAAAGGAUGUGAACAGUGUGCGUGUUCCUUCGUUAGAGAUGGCUUGUAAAGACUUUCAUGCUUGCCAAUGGCCUUCGGACUUGGGAAGUGAUGAUGAGGCUCUUGCUCUUUACUUUGACAAGUUGAAUGACAAGAACAAUGAUGCUAUUGAAGAAGUAAAAAAGAAGAGCAAACAGAUACUUACAUUUUCACACUUUGUACCAAGGCAAGAGUUAUGUCCAGAGAAGCGAAUGCUUUACUAUCCAAACCUUCCAAAGGUCAUCGGCUCUGAUUAUUUGGAAAGAAGGCUGAGAGCUAUACACAACAACGCUAAAGAUGGAGCAGCCUGCCAUGUAUUCGGGCAUACACACUUCUGUUGGGAUUCUGUGGUUGACGGUAUCAGGUAUGUACAGGCGCCUCUGGCAUACCCUCGAGAAAGAAAGCGAAGGAUAAACGGAGGCCAGGGAUGGUUGCCGUUUUGUGUAUAUCGUGAUGGCUUCAACCCUGAAAUAUACCCAGCUAUAUGGUCUGACUAUUACAACAAGAACAGAAGGGAGCCUGAGAACACUCAGCUUGCGCCGUGGGUUGCCAAAUAUUUUUCAAAGUACUACGGACCCCCUGUUUUUGCCAAACAAACUGAAUCCGGUUGA
rnacentral:rRNA from 1 species